rnacentral:rRNA from 2 species
UCUGGUGACUAUAGCAAGGAGGUCACACCUGUUCCCAUGCCGAACACAGAAGUUAAGCUCCUUAGCGUCGAUGGUAG